UGAAGAGUUUGAUCAUGGCUCAGAUUGAACGCUGGCGGCAGGCCUAACACAUGCAAGUCGAACGGUAACAGGAAGCAGCUUGCUGCUUCGCUGACGAGUGGCGGACGGGUGAGUAAUGUCUGGGAAACUGCCUGAUGGAGGGGGAUAACUACUGGAAACGGUGGCUAAUACCGCAUAACGUCGCAAGACCAAAGAGGGGGACCUUCGGGCCUCUUGCCAUCAGAUGUGCCCAGAUGGGAUUAGCUUGUUGGUGAGGUAACGGCUCACCAAGGCGACGAUCCCUAGCUGGUCUGAGAGGAUGACCAGCCACACUGGAACUGAGACACGGUCCAGACUCCUACGGGAGGCAGCAGUGGGGAAUAUUGCACAAUGGGCGCAAGCCUGAUGCAGCCAUGCCGCGUGUAUGAAGAAGGCCUUCGGGUUGUAAAGUACUUUCAGCGGGGAGGAAGGUGUUGUGGUUAAUAACCGCAGCAAUUGACGUUACCCGCAGAAGAAGCACCGGCUAACUCCGUGCCAGCAGCCGCGGUAAUACGGAGGGUGCAAGCGUUAAUCGGAAUUACUGGGCGUAAAGCGCACGCAGGCGGUCUGUCAAGUCGGAUGUGAAAUCCCCGGGCUCAACCUGGGAACUGCAUUCGAAACUGGCAGGCUUGAGUCUUGUAGAGGGGGGUAGAAUUCCAGGUGUAGCGGUGAAAUGCGUAGAGAUCUGGAGGAAUACCGGUGGCGAAGGCGGCCCCCUGGACAAAGACUGACGCUCAGGUGCGAAAGCGUGGGGAGCAAACAGGAUUAGAUACCCUGGUAGUCCACGCCGUAAACGAUGUCUACUUGGAGGUUGUGCCCUUGAGGCGUGGCUUCCGGAGCUAACGCGUUAAGUAGACCGCCUGGGGAGUACGGCCGCAAGGUUAAAACUCAAAUGAAUUGACGGGGGCCCGCACAAGCGGUGGAGCAUGUGGUUUAAUUCGAUGCAACGCGAAGAACCUUACCUGGUCUUGACAUCCACAGAAGAAUCCAGAGAUGGAUUGGUGCCUUCGGGAACUGUGAGACAGGUGCUGCAUGGCUGUCGUCAGCUCGUGUUGUGAAAUGUUGGGUUAAGUCCCGCAACGAGCGCAACCCUUAUCCUUUGUUGCCAGCGAUUAGG
rnacentral:rRNA from 3 species